CCAGAGAACUUUCCAGAGAUGGAUUGGUGCCUUCGGGAACUCUGAGACAGGUGCUGCAUGGCUGUCGUCAGCUCGUGUUGUGAAAUGUUGGGUUAAGUCCCGCAACGAGCGCAACCCUUAUCCUUUGUUGCCAGCGGUUAGGCCGGGAACUCAAAGGAGACUGCCAGUGAUAAACUGGAGGAGGGUGGGGAUGACGUCAAGUCAUCAUGGCCCUUACGAGUAGGGCUACACACGUGCUACAAUGGCGCAUACAAAGAGAAGCGACCUCGCGAGAGCAAGCGGACCUCAUAAAGUGCGUCGUAGUCCGGAUUGGAGUCUGCAACUCGACUCCAUGAAGUCGGAAUCGCUAGUAGUCGUGGAUCAGAAUGCCACGGUGAAUACGUUCCCGGGCCUUGUACACACCGCCCGUCACACCAUGGGAGUGGGUUGCAAAAGAAGUAGGUAGCUUAACCUUCGGGAGGGCGCUUACCACUUUGUGAUUCAUGACUGGGGUGAAGUCGUAACAAGGUAAGCGUAGUGCU
rnacentral:rRNA from 1 species